GGGCGGGCAGAGCCGCCGCCGCCAUGAUGGCGCGGGGCGGGGUGUACCUGGCGUGUGGCGCUGGGAGGACGUCUGUGUGACCCAGCAUAACUGGAGAAACAGAUUAGAUGUUCAGUGUGCUGUUGCUGUUUAGACGCGAGGUGCGAAGAUGUGAGGUGUUGGGAAGUUACGAUAACGUCUGUACCUAGAGACAGGGGCUGGAGGAACAGAGGAGGUUGCCUGAUAGCUGAGGAAAGCAGUCUCUGACAACGAGUGUCUAAUCAUCUGAACAUCCUUGUGGUACCCUGCCUCACCCAGUGCUGGAGCUUAUCCUCCAGUGUGAGUUAAACAGAUUGACUCUGAAUGGAGUAUUCAUUACAACGGAAUUUGAUCUUAGAAGACACAGCUAUAUUUAUGUCUUUUGAGUGAUUAUGGCAGUAGCCCUCCAUAACAUGUUUAAUGAUAACUUAGAGCCUUAAAAGACGCAACAAAGACAUUUUGUAACAUAAAAGGGAUUUUGACAUAAACAUUUCACUGUAUAUCUCAAUAAAGAGGGUCUGGAUUUCUUUAAUUUUAUUAUACUACAUUGCAAGUGACAUCAUAAAAGCAUCACACAAAGCAUUCACAACUCAAGAGUUUUAUGAGAUGGACUAGUCUUUAGCAAUUUUUCUUCUUAAUCAGUAACAUGGACAGCUAGUGAAACGAAACAUCUGACAUAUCUAACAUUUCAUACUGGCUCUCAAUGAUUCUGUUUACUGUUUUCCUCAGUUCCUUCUGAACUUUCUUGAGUGGUUACCAAAGUACCUAGAAUUUUCCACUGAGUAGGCAACUACUGGUUUUCAAACCAAGUAUGAUUCAAGCAGGGUCCAUGGUCUUGUGUAAGGCAUGGUGAAUGGAAUGGAGUAUCAUCAGCUGGGUCCAAUCCAUGCUACAAGAACCACACAUGCUAGUUAUACAGCUGGGACUUCUGCUCUCAAGCUGAAGUUGGAAUCAGCAUGUCUCUGUGAGUCCCUUCUGCAGUGAUCUCCACUUGGGCAGGUAGCAGAAAACCUCAUCCCUCUGUCUCCCCCUCCAUAAAUUUUCCAUAAACAUGAAUGUAAGUUAGGUGAAAAUCUCUUAAACAUGUUAAUGUUUCACUGAGACACAAAUCCAGUAAAAUAUUUUUACUUAACUGAGUUUCUGAGUCAUGAAGAGUAAGAAGAAAAUAACAUACACAUCACAGAUCUGAAACUUUGAUAAGUUUCUGAGUAGUGUUGUGUAGGCUUCGUACAUCUUUAUAUAAUCACAUUCUCACUCAUGGUACUGGAUAAGUUUUGCACAAGAAAAGAAGCAGCUAAUGGAGGGAAAAAUCCAAGAAAGGUCACAUUUAUUUAUGUUACUUUAUUACAACAUACAUAAGGGAAAGGGGUUUUUUCAUUAAAAGUAAUUCAAAAAGUGAAAAUUAUAGUGCAGACUAGAAGCAAUUAAUUUGUGUCCUGUGCUUGUUAAUCUGCUCACCUCAAGGAAGUUUAUCUUCAGAGAUCAAAAGACAAAAAUCACACUUAGAAAUUUGUUCUCUCAUGUCAUACUGCAUGCUUUAAAUAGCAAAACAUAAAGCUGAUGCUUGUUUUGAAAUACCUUUUUAGGGUCUCCAUGGAGACAGUGUUGUCUUUGCAAAAGUGUUUUGUAGGGUACAACAACUUCAAACUUCCAAAUUGUACCAAGAACCUUUUCUUUUUCCAAAUUAAAUUAAGACAACAGGGCAAAAUCUACCAGGCCAUUUCUAAAUUACUGACAAAACAGAACCCUAUUGUUUGAAAACACCUUUUCAAAGUACUGAACAAAGAAGGUGUGUGAUUUUAACUAAUGCUAAUAAGUAUCAGCUUUUCCCACUGCAGUGGGAAUCAGAAGCUUUGAGAAUUAUCAGGUUAGUUUUAACACCAUGUGCUGAUAAGAAAUUAUCUGCAAAAGUCUUGUCUGUGUAACCCCUACACUCCAAUAAUGCUAUCAGUCAUAGACAAGCUAAGUAGGUUAAGCUUCUUGAUGAUAGGUUUUGAGUUUUUUAGUUUUGUUUUUUUUUUUUUUUUAAUUAGGAAAGAAAGCAAUUAAAUUCCCUUUCUGUGACAACUAUUUGAAAAUCGUUUCUUGAAAGAGAAUAGAAUAAAAUCUGCAGUACAGUGGAGCUUUAUUGUCCUGGCACUCUAAAAGGCAGCAGUCAAGAACCAGAGACAAGCGUGGUCUGGAAUAGAGCGCUUCAUGCAGAGACCAGCGGGGUGCCCUCUCAUCAGCUUUCAGAUGUUGUUAGUUUUAAGCUCCUGUCCUUCGGUUUCUUCUAAAGGAAGGUUCAUCAAGACUGGUGUAGUUUUGCAAAAUGCCAUUAAUAUGUAAUAUUUUUCUGAGAAAAAAAUGCUGUCAAAAAACUUCCUCAUCCAUUUCUAUGUCUAAGUCUACUCACGGUACAUUUUGUAUAACAGUAAUGAAAUAAGUUACAUAAUUGAACUGCUCAUAAAAGUGCAAGUGAAUUAGCUGAUUUCCCAGACUUGUUGGUAUCAAAUUGUUAAUAACAGCAAAAAUGCAAAAUCAGUAUGGAGCUUUAAAAUAGCUAACAAACCUGAGCUGGAGUCCUGCAGACAACAAAGUUUUUAAAUUUGACUGCAACCAAAUAAAAAAGUGACACUGUCAUUUUCAAAUCUGGCUCUCUAAAGCCAGUCCUAGGCAGGCACAUGCAUCCAUGGCUUCAACUGGCUUCGGAAAACUAGCUCCUGAAAACCAGCCCUGUUCUACAGAUAAAGGAAAUAAAGGCCUUCAUGAAGACCAAAGUAGAAAAUAUAGGCUCAGCUCCCUGUGGCUGCAAGAAUUUGUCACGCAAAAGGGUUCAGACAUUCAAAAGUCAGUGCUCUGCCGCUGCUGAGAUGCUGAUGGCUCAACCCAUGGGCAUCUCAGGCAGGGGCAUGCUGUCCAGCUGCAGGAGGAUGGGUGUGUCCUACAGCCCUUCAUCGGACACUGGGUAAAACCUGUGGCUUCCUCCUCUGAGGUUUAAUGGCAGCCUCUUUUUUAGGGUUAGGUGCUAGCACAGAGCUUGCUGUUGGCCCUUGGCCCAGCUAGGCUCUCAAAUCUUGCUGCCCCUGCCAGCUCCUGACACUGCCAGUGGGGGUGGAUUUUCUAUUUAUUACUUCACAGUGACACCUGCUGGAAAAGACCCAUCGCUUAGGCAGGUAAGGUGCAUUUUAAGAAUGAAUUAAACGUAAGCUGGACACCAGCAGAAGAUUAUGUCACGCUGGGAAAAGGGUGUAGAAAAGUCAAGUAAGCUAAAAAAGAUCAGAAAAACAUUACAAACGUUAUGAGAGCCACUAGACCCCCAUAAAGUAUCCUGCUGUGUACUCCUUAAGACACGAAGCAAUUGUCAGCAGUUUUAUGCCAAAAGUCCUGCCUCACCCAGCUCUCAUCCCUGCCCCAAAGCAGUGCAUCGUGUGUCUCUCUACUGUGAUUUCCGAGGGCACUGAAAUCUAUUCCCGGACAUCUGGGUUUGAUAGGCAUAGAGAACAAUGAUUUUUCUCCCAUUCCUGUACUUUAUGAAGCCAUUCUUUCAUUUAUAGAGUGUAUGGUGCUUACUGCCUGUCCUCGUAGCCCCCCCUGUCAUCUUGUACCAUUCAGAAUGUAAUGGGGAAGCAGAGAGGUAAUCUUCAGUAGAGAACGCGGAAGAGCCAUUCCUUUGACUAAAGAAAUUUCAGAAAUUAAAACCGUUUGUGCUUCUCCUACGCGAGAAUACGCCAGUAGGUGUCACUAAAAGCCACUAAAUCCAUUUUGGUCCCAAGACCUCCUCGAACGUGCUGACAUCACCAACACCCCAUGGAUAUCCACCCUGCUAAUCGCUGGCUUUUUGCGCUGCCCACCGUGUGAGGUCGUUAUUUUUCAGCAAGGCUGGAGUUUGUUUGAAGAAAUAUCUCUGGCUUCCAAGUGGUACACAUAAAUAUUCACCUUUCACUUCAAUUUUAACAGAAAAAUCCUAUUUUAUAGUACAGCAUGGUUGAAAUAACCUCGGUCAGUAGAAGCUGUUAAAUCAUACAUGUUUGCAUUUGAGAAGAGCUGCUCUGUCCUCAGGACUAAUACAGUGCUAGCACUGCAUGCAUAUUUGUGCUGUUUGUUUGGUGAGGCUGCACUCAAUAUAACUCUGUCAUUCUGUGGAGACGAAGCAAAAGCUGCCCUAACCAUAUUUGUUUUCUGAAUAUUAGGACUGAAGCUGAUAAAUGAGCCUCAGCCUAAGUUUUGUGCAACCCCUCUAGUUUGUAGAAUAAAUAUCAUAUGGGCCACCUCUAUCUACACACAAAGUUUGUGUCCAAGGUUUACUCGUCUUUUUGGGAGGUGUGUGUGUUCACAGAGAGGAAGGUGAGGGAUACAAUGGCCAGACCAUUUUGAGAAGUGACAGACAGGCCAAGAGUUGUGCCACCAAGCACUUCUGUACCGUGGUAGGGACUGAGUCCCAGGAUAUGUCUUUAUAGAAGUCUGUGCUGGAGCUAUUAAUGCUGAGCUCUGACUGCUGACCCAAGGUGUAACCCUGUAAAGCAUCACUUCCUCAAGCUAGCAGAGACAAGGACCUCCUGGGGAAACCCCCAGAGAUAUUUGUAUUUCUGUAGUUAGCUACUGGACACUAAAAAAGGGUUGGGAAUGUAUGGUGGACUGUGCUGAAUAAUUAUUGCUUCUACUGAGGGAGCAGUAGUUCUGCAGAACAAAAAGUAAUGCUUGUGACUCUUAGUUAUGACUGUUUUCGUAAUACGUGCAGGAAGAAUGAACUGAGACUGCCUGCUCAAGUUUUGCUCUUGUCGCAUAAAAGGAAUGUCAUUCAAGUUUUUCCUUUUGGUACAUGUACUCUCCUUCUAAUGGGUUUAUGUAUAUAGACAUGUUUUUACAUAUAUUUUACAGUUUAACCCCUCUACCUCUGAAAAAAAAAAAAAUGCUACUCUACCCCUCCAGAUUUUAGAAUUAAAAUUUUCAGUGACAGGGAAUGACAAGAAACAAGCCUCUCAUUGCUCUGAUUGUUUUUCCCACUUGGACUUCCCUUCCCUCACACCAACAGUCACUCUUCUCAUGCACGGAGGAGUAAAAUUCUCUCUGGCACAGUUUUUUUCCACAUAGAAAAUGAGUUUGACCUUAUCUUAUGUACCUCAUAAGAAUGUUUUAAGGUUUAAUACAUGCAUCUUUUCAGAGAGUGCUGAAGAUGAAAAGCAAUAUAUGAUAAACAUAAAUCUACUUUGAUCAUAAAGGGCACAUUACUGUUUUUCCUCAUCUCUCUAGAAAGCAAUAAUGCCAUCCUCUUCUAAACAUCCCCCGAAUAUAUGUAUAAAACAGGAAUAGAAAUAAUUAUAAGAUAAAGAAGAUAAAGAAUUAUAAAUAAACAAAUACAGAAAUAAUUUAUUUUAAGAUGACAAUUGGAAUCUCUCUGCCUUGGCUCUUUUGAUCUCCUUGAUGCUCAUUAAAUCGUGGAUGGCAGACCCCGCUUCCAUCUUAAAGAAAGAAACUAGAGUGCUGCUUAAGCAC